AGCGUUUUUGCGUUGUCCAAGGGCCCCUCUCUCGCAACAAGUUCCAAAACUUCCACUCGGGCCUUCUCUUGCCAUUCUGGAUUCACGGCCAGGAGCACCAUCACCCACGAGUCAGUUGCUGUCGAGCAUCGUACCGAGCAAGUCACUCCCGUGAGAGGCAGCAUAGUUCUCCCGCGUGAGAGCCCGCCGCGAAUCAAUCUCCACACGGAGCAAACGAAUGGGCGGACAUGACCUUUUCCAGAACCUUGGGCCUCCAAGUGGUCUACAGCAUUGGGACCAAAGGAUGAGGCAAGAACAGCAAGUAGCACAAGCCACAUUUCCAUUGCCAAAACGUUUUCUUUCCAAAGUGAUCCAAACCUCGCGAGACUUGACGUGUUGAAGUUUGAACUUCAAACUACAGUUGCAACACAGCACCGACUAAAGAAAAAGUACUAUCUUUGCUAGGUUAAAGUUUUAGUAUGAUUUUGUCUUGGAUGUUUUUGUUCCAGUGAAUGCGUGUGUCCCGUUUUACGUAUGUCUUUCCAAGAAGACAAUCAAGGCUCAGGACAAACACCUCUUGUGAAUCACAAGAAGAAGAUGUCCUCGUAUACCUCGUCCCAAAAGCCAAUUGCUUUGAUCCUCCGUUGCCGGAGCUUGGGAAUUUCUAGGUGCUGCUCCUCCCCAGUGCGCUUGUGCCCCGCCAGCCUCUCCUCCUCCUCGGGAUCCAGCCCGAGAGCGCCUCCACCGGACGGCCUGACGAGCGAGGGGCGGUAAACAACCGCCCUCCUGUAAUGCACCAUCUCACCGACACUGUACUGCCCCACCGCCUCGCUCUUGCCACGGAUGUGAAACCACUCGCCGCGAUCCAGGUCGUACACCGCGGGUGGCAAAGGCUCGCCACCGCAAUCACCAAGCUUGUGGCCGUCAUCGUAGCGAUCGCGGCACUGUCCGGCAAGGCACAGGAGAUUGCCUUCGGCCUGGCACUCCAACGUCAAAAAAUCGUCCCAGUAGACAUCCGUAAUGUCCAAGAAGGAACUUGCAACCUCACGGCAGUGGCCACUGCUCCAAGCUUUCUCAACGUCCAAAACGCAAGAAGCCUCUCUCUUACCCGCCAUAUCCAUCGGCUCCUCCAUGCUCCACACUCUGCACUGAGGAUCACCCUCCUUGAUCCGAAAGGCACCAGCCACAUAGCGCUCGCCCUUGUGCUCCCAUACGAAAGGGACACAAACCAGGGUCGGGUCGUUUAGGAGGGGCUCCUUGUGUGGCACGAUGAUGCAUCUAGCAGUGUCGAACAAGAAUCCUUCAGGGUAGUCCGCAACCCGUGUCCAAGCCCGCGAGCUUGAGUCGUAAAAAUGGUAGUUGAAGGCGUCUACAACCUUGAACUCUCCGGUAGCUGGGUCCGCGGUCAUGCUGUAGACGCGACCGGAGUGCACCUGAGGCGCAAGGCGUGGGAUCCUGACCCACUCGUUGGUUGCGGGAUUUCCCACCACCAACUCCACCCCGGGAGAGGCAUCGUCGGCCCAGCAGGGCAGCCUGCGAGGACGAGGCCAUUGAGGAGGCGACGAUGUCGAAGGAGCCGGGUGGGAGAGUAUCUUUCAUCCAUGGCGGGAGUGCAGAGACGGUGCGCGACUUGGGACUCCAUACACAGAUUUGCUGUGGUCGGGGGAGACGAUCCCAGUUGCCGUUGUAGGCGGUGAGGAGGACAUACUCCUCGUCGUCGUCGCGUUGCUGCUGCCUCCACGCUGUCCUAAACUCGGGAGAUCUGAUCAUGGAUCUCCAUUCCUUGCAGACGCGGCGCGCUUGCAUCAACGAGUUCCAGCCCAGUGACAGCAAGAUGCGUGCCAGUAGCUCAUACCCUAGAACCUCCGCGAUCAUUGUUACCAAUACAACAGGCCUCACCGUCCUACCUACAAUCUUGGCGGUCAUUCACAAUCCACGCCAGCCCUAAUUAUGUUUCGGUCUCUAAAUUCUAGGCGUUGUCCACGUCAGCCCUAAAUUCUAGCGUUGACGCUCGCUCCGCUUUGUAAGCGAGAGAUCCGGAGUUCGAUCAGCGCAAUAGGAGACCUUAACAAGAAAAGUGACCGGUAUAGAAAACCGGACUAUACUUUCGUUUUUCACGUAAAGUAAUCGAAAACAAGAAUGAAUUUACACUGUCUCGACACAGCGUUUGAUUUUCUACACCAUAAAAGAGUCGAGAACGUUUGGCCUUUGCUCUUCCAGCUCCGACAGGAGCUCUGUGACCACCGCUCUCGUCCCUGGCAUGCCAUAAAGUUCGGGAUUCCGGCUGGUCGAAAUUCGCAAGCUUUAAUCAUUGCCUCCACGGGACUGAGCAUUCUUAGAUCGUGUCCAGGUUGAGCCGUCAGGUGCCGGUUCCUCGGCCGAGAGCUUCUUCACCGUGAGAGGAGAAGCUCGCUGCUGCUGUAAAAGCCGUAGACUCUCAAAGAUCUGAAGCGUGACCACGCCAGGGUCGUGGUUGCCGUCCACUGCUGAUAUUGCCUCACGUAAAACGUUCGUGUCGAGAAGGACCACGGGAGAGGGGCUGACCAGCACCAUUAUCUGCACCGAGAAGAGAAGCAUGGCAGCGACGCUGUCUCGCACAAAUACCCGCGACCAUAAGGUGUUACUGGGAAUACUAUGAAAAGAGUUUCAAGUACCUGGGGGCGCUGGGAAAACCCGACAGGAGUAUCCAGGAAGAUUAUCGGCUGCACCAGAGCGAUUCCUUGCCAUGGUUUCAUCCGAGUACCAGUUUUUCCUUUCUUGCCUGUGAACAAAGAGGGAAAACUUGUAGUGGUGAAAGAGGACCAUAGCACUUUUCUGAAGGAUAAUAGAUCACCCAGCCGCUGUGGCAGCGCUAAUUGUGUGGUAGCGGUGCUUGGAGACAAGUCGCACAGGAACCACGGCUAGGAACUCCUCACCCGUGAAUCUGGAGGCUAGUAACAUAAGUGGAACCACAAAGAUAAACUACGGAUGUACCUCGUUUCUGGCUUUGAGGAUGCCUCAGAUGCUCCUCCUCCAUCUAAGACAAGUAAGAAUCGCUUAUAACCUGCAUGAAAUCAUGCCACAUAGACCAGAAUCCACAAAAGUUGUCUUUAUUCAUUGUAGCAAGCAACACAAGAUGAUUACUCCUGUAGAGUUUUGGAAUCAAGGGGAAACCACAUGGGAAAACUUAAUAAAAGAAUUAAACACUAGAAUAAGAGGAUAACAAGAGGAGAAAAGAAAGUGAAAAGGAAAUAAAGAAAAUAGAAGAAAAAAAUUAAAAACAAAAAGACAAAAUGGAAACAUAAAACUGAGUAGUAGAACCAUUUACUUGGACUCUAACUUAAAGCUUUUGCACCUUUGGAAAGUGUUUUAGACGUAGCUCAACUACUCUUAAAGUUCCAAAGAAUGAAGUGAUGGAAAUGAAUGUGUUGCCCGAGGGUGGUAAUUGUGAGAAUGAUGGAAGACAGCAGCCUUAUAAAUGAAUGGUGGAAAAUAAUGGUGACUGAGUUAAAACAUCCACCCAUAGUAAUGCCUGGUCUCCUUUGUGCAUCAGGUUUAACUAGCUCUUAAAAAUCAGCUGCUGGAUGUCCUAAAGUUUCUCGUAAUCUUUGCAUUGAGAUAGUCCACAUCAUAUUUUGAGUUUGACAAGUUAGGUUUUGUUGAUGCUUGGUGCAUCUGCUGCAUAUGGUAAUGAUAAAUAGAGUGAUGUAAUGGGAUCUAUAAGACUAUAUGUACAUGGUGAGAAAAGUGAAGAAAUGUGAACUAGGCAACUGUAGUGAGUGGUAAACAAUGGUGUAGUGAGUAACAAAAUGAAUGGAUUGUGACUGUGAGUGAUAAAGAGUGAUGAUGAUGAUAGAUGAGAUGAAACCAUUUAAAGAAAACUCAGGAACCGUAAGUAACAAGCUGUGAGAUGGAUGAGCUCCCAAAUGAAAGGAGUUGAUGCAGCCUCAAAGUGAAAGUCCAAGCUAGUGCUUGCUCCAUCCUAAGAAUCACCCUAAACAUGACAAAGAAGAGAUCAAAGUGGAAGAAAAGAAAAAGAAAUAAAAGAAAUAGGAAGAAAAAGAAAGUGAAACAAGCUCACUUCCGAAAGAUCUUGAGGUGGUAGUGGUUGUGAGUGUGUGGCAACUCCUGCCCUGCCUCGUUUGUGAGGAUGUAAGCACCACCUCCUAUGUGCUUCUUGAUAAAGAAGGGCGCUGGAAAGGGCUUGCCUUGCCGGAACUAGUCUUGUUGGCCCUUAUACCCUGCGCUUUGUGGCUAAAAGGUUUGCCAUUGCAUAUUGCUACUUAUCAAGUUGGAGAAGAUCCCAUAUUCAAGCUUGUAGCUGCUCCUCGCUAAUUGAAACUGUGCUGCAUGUCGCAAGGUAAAUUGAAGAGAAGGGACCUAAAGCUUGAUUGGAAGAACAGCCUCAACUUCAUAAAUCAGAGAAAAUGGUGUGGUAGCUAAAAAGUUUUUUACUUAAAGGCACUAUUAUCCUCUCUUUUAUUUUGUACCACUUUAAACAUUAAAUUCCAUUUAUCCAUAAUUUGUGCUAGAGCUAUUCAUGGCUUUAUCAUUUGGCUAUCUUGCCGCUCCUUCCCUUGGAAUUUUCACUUUUACCAACUUAGAGUAUUUGGGAAUUCCAUCUUUGGAAAUUUAUUUCCUUUCCAACAAUUUAUUAGCAUCCACCAUAUGGUGGUUCCUCCCCUAAUUUAUCAUUUUGAUUUAUUUCAAUAGUUUCUAAUAUUUAUUCCCAACCACUAAUCCUUUGCUCUUAUCGUUUGAUUGUUGCACCAAAUAAUAUAGGACCACUAUUUUCAUUUUUGAGGUAUUCUUUUAGUUUCAUAGUAAAAAAGGGCAUUCACCUGUAAUAAGUCUCUUUAGCAUUUUUUGUUAUGGGCUCUAUCUAUAACCUAACUUUGUAACCCUCUUAUAAGUCCUUAGAGAUUACUUUCUUAGAUUCAUAAUGCCAUUGCUUUGCUAUAGUUUAUUUCCUUUAGGUUCUUUUUUAUUUGGUCACCUUGACCAAGUCAUACUAUACCAUUUGUUCAAAUCACUACUUUAAACUAAAAACACCAUUUCUUAACCCACCAAGAGCUUGUCCUUGAUAUCAGCUAUGGAAUCACUUAGUGAUCCCACAUAGACAAUUUAAUAAAUUUAUUAAUAGCACUGAAUUUAUUUGAUCUCUAAGUUAUUUACCACAACCCCGAGGGCAUCCCCCACACUUGGUAGUGUGCCCAAGCUAUCCCUUUUAGCCAAGGGUUCAUAGCAACCAAGAUUGGGUGUCCUUAUCUUAUUCACCAUAUCUUUAGUGCCACUUGCAUUAGAGUGUUCAAAUUAGAUAUGCUAAGCUUUCACAUUAAGCACUCUAAUUGUGCACCAUGACUUUAGGGCAUCUUCUGCUUGGCGGUGUGCCCAAGACAACCUCCUUACGGAGAGUCCAUGAUCACCAAAAAAUGAGUGUCUUCAUAUUCCAAACCAUUACCACGCCCUAGUAGGUUGGGACUUGAACCCAAACACUAAAGGGUUGGGACUCAAACCCAGCUUUCAUAUAAGCAUUUACAAAUGGCAUCACCCAAAAUGCCUAACAUAACUCUCCACGCUGAUGCACCAACUUAUAUUUAAUGCACACUUAGUUUCUUCGAGCUUCCAAGUCUUCUCACUCGACAAGUUAAUUGAUUAGUUUGUGAUCAUGCAUGGACUCCUCCAUAUUUGGCCCCAUAAAUGACCCCUUUUGAAGUUAACACUUCAACUAGGUAUUUGUUCCUCCAAGUGGCUAAUUUUUUUUUGGCAAGUCAUCAAAGCAGCGUAAUGUGGUUCUUUGCAUAAACAUAAAAGUCUUCAAACAUUAACUUUUGUUCAAAGUUAUCUUUUUGAACACUCAAGAACUAUUUCCCCAAUUUAAUAGUCUCGCCUCAUGGCAAGCUUCAAGACCAUGCUUCUACUGCAUCACUUUGAUUUUGUGCAUUUCUAUGAACCAUUUACAUUUAUCUUUCUAAGUACUAACCUACCCAAAAUUGUCUUUAGGAACAUUAAAGGGACUUUGUCCCUUAGUUUGCUAAGGUUUUCCCUUUCAGUUUCUUAAUUGCCAUAUGGUUUAAUAUCAGCAAUUCCAUACUUUAGACUUACCAUAGGACCACAAUUUCUAAUAGUAACACUUUUGAUCAUCCACUUGAUUUUUCAUUCCUAAUUUGUAUAGCCAUCUUUAGUUAUAAAGCUCUAUUUCGUUAAAGUGGGAAUUGUCAUUAUCCCACUUGUAAAAUAAGGUUUCCAAACCUUUAUAUAGUAUAUAAAUAUAACAAAAUUCAACUGCAUUGAGGCACAUGCCAUUUUAUUUUAAACAAGCAAAUGUCUACUCAAUCACUUCUCCUCCCCCUGCCACUGCUUCACCUCUCUCUUCUCCUUGUCAUCGUUGUCCAAUUUCUUUCCAUCAUUUUAAUAUUGGCUCAGUUGCUCCGAGUCUAGGUGGAGCCCAAGUCCCCAUUCAAUCUUUACUUUCCCCUUAUUAAUAAAACAACUUCGUAGGCUUCCAAUAACAUGCUGUAACACUUCUAGUAUAAUGCAAAUCCUCUCAAAGAAUUGUCUUUUAAUAUUAAUACAAUGGCAUGGAACCCCAUGCCAUAAUAAGUUACAUUUUUAAAUAAAUACAUGCCAUCUCAGAUUGUUAUUUUUUGCCUCCAACGCCUAUACAAUAAUCUUGGAAUUUCAUCACUCUCCACACUAUCAGGAUUUAAACCCAAUAGUAAUGCCAUCUCUUCUCUAAUACGUCCACGCUCAUGUUCAGUGGUCGAAGAACCCAUCUGGUUGAGCAGAUUAUGGAGAUGCGGAUAGUGCUUGGCUAGACAAUAUACAUGCCAUAAAUGAUGACUGGUGUCUGUCCGAUCAAAUGGCUUCUGAUAUACCGUUCCAUCUGCCAUUUGGUUGAUUUCUGCAGCCACCUCCUGGACUGGCCGGUUCUCUAUCACCAUCGCUCCAAGCCGUUUUGCAAGGUCUCCCAGAACAUAUGGUUUCUUCUCCCUAGUUUCCAUACUGCAAGAGAUGGGGUGCACUGCAUAUGUGUGCGUGUUUGUUGCAGUUUUAAUCGGCGAGUCAUCGAUGAUGAAGAUUUCACUUGACCUAGCAGUCCGGUUCAUCACUACAGCCUCUGGCUUGACGAAGAUGGGCUUGCUACCCCUCACAUGGACCAUAGUCAAGCAAUCCUCCUGCGUUAGGAGAAAGUCAAAUGGUAAUAUUACUCGCGUCUGAUUGUGCAUCAUCUGUAGCAACAUUAAUGCAUUGUGGCGCAUCAUGGAUGUCCAAACUCCCAAUUGCAAAUUGAACCCGACCCUCUAUUUUAAGUGUCGCAUGGUCAUUAUUAGAUCCCGCAGUUUCUCCCGUGUGAUUAAUGUGAAUUUGUCUCUUUUGACCAAUUUGCGACCGCAGGCUUUGGAGGGUGCAGUGACAUUCGAGGACGAGCCACGCUCAUGGGAGAAAAGGACACCGUUCAGAUCAAAAAUGAUACAGUACCUUCGCCAUGACUCUGAAAUGAAAUGCGUCAGCAUAAAAAAUGGUACAAGUCAAUUUUACCAUCUACAAUAUUAGCGAAUGGUGCUCCCGAUGGUCGUUGAGAGGGUUUUGGUCGAGGAAACGUGAAGGGCGGAAAUACUCUCCUCUGCAAUGUGGGGUCAAUCGCAUUCGAUGGCGUGUGGGCACAUGCCAUUUUAGCUGUAGACUCUGGUACAACUGGCUCAACAGUGGCAUGGGGUGGUUCCGAUGGCGUGUGAUCACACGCCAUUUCAGCUGGUGCCUUCGUUGGCAAAGUGGACAUGACCGAACAGGCAGCAGGGGUGGUGUAGGGAGGUUCUAAUGGCGCGUAGUCAAACGAUUGGGCACACGUUGAGUCCGUUGGAAAUGAGGAUACGACCGGCUCGGCAGCUGGGGCGGCCUCAUGCGGGUCCAAUGGCGCCUGGUCACUGUCAGUUGGAUACGUGGACAAGAUUGACUCAGUGGUAUGGGCAGCAUCAAGUGGAGCGUGGUCAGCUUGCUUGGCGUUGAUAUGGAUAGUAGCCUCCACCAGCUCUGAUGACUCUUGCAGGCAAGUAGAGUCGGACGUCGGCUUGGAGCAGGAGAGUCAAACAUCGGCUUGAGCUUGACCACCCUUUUCUGCUUCGGGGUAGUUUCCAGAUCGACCCCCUUCCCCUUCACUUCGCGAACUGGAGUCACUCUCAACGGCUCAAUGUUGGAAUAUAGUUUUUGAACAUCGCCGUAGGUGAGGUCCGUGGAUUCCAUGGGAUCUUCAUAGACCCGCAGCGUCUUUGAAAUUGUGGGCCUCCUAGACAACCUCUCCCUAUCUCCCUCUAGGAAUUCCUCAUAGCCGCUGCCCCCCUUCGGGAAGCCGCUAGGAUGUGCAAGGUGGAUCUUGAAGACGGACGCUGUCUCUACCACAAGUGCUAGUCCAUAUUCUUGCAUGGAACUGCAUGGAGUGUCUGUCACUUGGAUGAGGAUCCCCAUGCAUUCUUUUCUCCCACCAUUUGUGUUGUACAGCCUCAGAUCCUUGCCUUCCAUCCCGAAAGUCCAACUGGUGAGCUCCUCCCCCUUCUCUGCAUCCACAUUGACAGUGGCUGGAAGAAGAACGCAAUUCCUCGCCUGUUCAGAAAUGCACAACAAUUAGAGUUGACAGAUGAAAAGCUAGCAGCUGGAAAUAACGUGAAGCCACAUGCCAUUCACCACUGCAUCAGAUGUCUUGAGGUUGCAUCCUAAGAUGGCGUGAGGCUACACGCCAUCUGUAACCAGACUGCACUCGAGAGCCCAAUCGGUGCAUGCCAAUGUUGCUACUGAAUGGCAUGUGGCCUCAUGCCAUUUUCUACUUGGCCUAAAAGACUUACCAUUUGAAGCCGAAUGGAGGCGUGACAAUCGAGGCCAGACUCGCUGGCGAAUGUGCACUGUGUGUGCAGCGGAUCGUAGCAGCAAGGCUACUCUGCCACUUACAGUUGGAGAGUGGCGCUGAAAUCUCCUGGGACGCCAAGUGGGCUGCGUGUGGGUGGCGGAGUGGGCGGCGGAGUUGGCGGCGAAGUUACAAACUGGGUGUGUCUUGAAGUGGACGCCGAUGCACACGAGCGCGAUGUGGACAAACGAAAGCUAGCUAUAAACAUGACGGGAUGCAAAUAGAUUACUAGGCUGGUCCUGCGAAAAUAAAAAACCAUAAUUGAAAACAUUGAAAAUGCAAAAAGAAAGGUUUAUAAUAUUUUUGAAUUUUAAGCAACCAAAGGAAUGUAAGUAGGGCAUGUGUUUGUAAGUUUAAAAAUGCCUCAACCACUUAAAUUCCCAAGUAAAUAAAGCUGUAUUUAUUUUUGGUACAGGUAAACUUUAUAGCGUGUGGGUUCAUGCAAUUUUAAAACCAAAAAUGCACCAAAAAAUGCUCGACUAGCAUUAUUCUUUGAAUGGCGUGUGGCCUUAUGUCGAGCAUUAUUCUUUGAAUGGCGUGUGGCCUUAUAUUGCCAUAAAUGGACGUACACACACAGCAUAAUUAUUCCUUUACACGGCGAAUAAUCUUGGCGCGGAUCGCUGACAUGGCAUGGCAAAGUUCGAAUCACUGACAUGGCACAGCUAAAUCGAGGCAAGGACAUGAUGUGACAAAGUUCAACGUCCGACAGCAAAGUCUAGAAGCUACUCAGUUUGAAAUUUGUCAAAGGAAUCAUAAGAUCUGGUUUGUCAGAGGAUUUGAUGUGACAUUCAAGCGUGUGUUAUUUUUGAAUUCUCGAACUCAUUCCUAAGUCUAUCAUUUUUGUGCGCCGUGUUCUUGGUUCCGCUGAGCGCAGUGAGCGCUGCUUGUUUAAGCAGCGUUGUGAGCUAUGGUUUAUGCGUCUACGAGCGGUUGCGGCAUUGCGAGCGCCAUUGCGAGCGGCAGUUUAUGCAAGUGGCAGUUUGUGCGAGCGGCGCUACGAGCAGUUGCGGUGGUGCGAGCGGCGCUACGGUACCACUAAUGGUAUGAGGCCUCAUGCCAUUAGUGGUACCACUAAUGGCAUGAGGGCUAAUGCCCAUUUUGUGAAUGCGAAAUUUCACGUGGGUGUCAAUAGCAUGUUUGAAUAAUGGCAUGUGGCCUCAUGCUAUUGAGGUUGUUUGGUAUGUUAUGAUUUAGGCCAUUCUCUAAUCAUUUUUUGUAUGGUCUUAACUUCUUUUCUGCACUUUCAGAAUGGCCUCCGCAAGUGCGACGCAUGUUCCCUCCGUGGAUCUUAAGAACCGUGCUACAUGGAUUCAGGCAAAGGUGUUUCUAAACAAACCCGAGGGGGAGGUGGUAGCUGAGGGCUUAGCCACAGUUGUCGAUCCAAGAGAUGCGGUUGCUAAUCAAGAAUUAGGCUGGGAUGAUAUUGGAGUUGCGAUUUUAGAAGUUGUUGACAUAGAAGAAAACAGUCUGACUAUUGGAAACAUUGUGCGGUGGAAAUUGAGGCACUUAGUGUUUGAGAAUGUGAAGGAUUCACAAUCAAACACCACUACAACUGAUGACAGAACAUCUCUUCAUGGGAAAAGAAAGUACACCUUCCUAAAGCACAGCCAAAGGGAUCUGAGCAACGAACCGAAAAGGCAGAAAAUGGCGAUGGAGGUUCGAAUGGUCUCGACAGUUGCUUGUUGCAAGAGGAGGUGCUGUCAACAUGCUGAUUGGGAUGCUAUUGAAGAGGAGAGAGCAAGAUACAAGACAUUGUCCUGGAAGGCAGCUCGCAAUUUUGUGUAUGAGGCAUUACGGUCAUCUGUUGAUGCUUCAGAACAUCAGGUGGGGGGCAUGGUCUUCCAGAGGGGUUUGGUCUGCAUGAAGGCAUGGAGAAUCAUUUAUGGAUUCCCUCGAACCACAUUCUACAGAAUCAAAACUGAGUUCGAGGAACAAAGGGUUCAACAGGCAGUCCAUGGGAACGACGGUACUCACAAAACCAGGGGUCAUGUUGUAUAUGGAGAGGCAAUCUUCAAGAGGUUUGUCGAGACAUGUAGUGAGCAGCAACCACAUAAAACCCGCCUUUUGGAAGAUGGAACUCGAGACACCCAACGAGUUCUCCCUUCCAUGUAUACCAAGGGGGCCAUAUUGUGUGUGUGCGCAUGCCAUCGCUCUUCUUUAGCUUCAGAUUCAGCUUGUUCACCUUGACAAUGAGAUUUAUUAUACAACCAGAUGGACUCAGUCUAGACACAAAGUCACCGCGCUAGUCACCAUGCCCCAGAUAUGUCUAGCCCCUGGACAAAAAACAUAUAAUUUCACGUCAUUUUCAAAUACUUGAAAAUUUGUACCUAGUCCCAUUUUACUGAAUAAAUCCCACUUUAACGAAAUAGAGCUUUAUACUCUUUGAUUCUUAUGAUUCAGUUUUAUCCUUUUAUUUUUAUUUUUUAUUUUUACACGUUCCUUUCGGUAUUCUCAUUCAGACUAGAAGGGUAACUUUACACUUUCUAUCAUGCCUUAGUAAAUAUUUUUAGGGAUGAACUUAUUCAAUGGCUUAGGGAGUGGUUCCUCAAUUUAUAUAUAUUUAUUUUGUAAUUCUAUACAUCAAAAUUAACAUCACUAUUCAUGGGUCCUUAUAUACCCAUUGUUAACUGUACCAAUAUCUUUUUGUUUUUAUCUACUUUGGAUAGUUAGACUUACUCUAUUUUUAGCUUUUGCACCCUUGGAUAUUAGAUAGCACCUUUUAUGCAUUUUUCUUUAAAAACUUAGUCACUGGUGCUUUAUUUAAUGCCUUUAUGAUCCCAAACACCACUUCUUGGGUGUUUUAGAGUGAUUAGGGGUCUUAAUAAUGGACUUCUUUAACAAUGAGCAUUUAUUUUUAUGACAUUGACUUAGUAUAUUACAAUAUAAGCAAUUUAUCCUUUAUGGGAUAUAUUAAACUUCCUUCUUAUCAAAACAAAAAGUCUUGGGAAGUCAACUUUCACCAAUGUAAUUAAUGAUACCAUGCCUUUUGCUUAGUUGACUCAUAGUCAUCAAGUCCUAUAACUCAUUAUUGAUAUUUCCACACCUCCAUUAUUAUUUGGGUCAACGCACUUGAAUUGCAAUCUUUCCAACUUAAGUUAUGCCAAUCCUGUUCCCAUGGGAUUCCUUUAGCAAAGGGUUUUUAUGAACCAAACAUAUCUCUUGAAACAUUUGGCAUCUUCACACUAUUGGCUCUAUAUAUUUACCCUCACAACACUUCCUACUCGUGUCUAAGUCUUGCCAAGAUCAUAGUAAUCAUUUUUUAUGCCAACUAUCAAUUAGCAUUACACCACAAUGUUCACAUAUAACUUUUCACCAAAGUUGCUUUCUUCUAUGAACACCUUUUCCACAACUAUAGUAGGGCAUAUUCUGCCAUGAAUAAGAUACCCAUUGUUUUUAUAUUUGGAUCUUAUAAUCCUCUUAAUCCUUUGUAAGGUACAACACAUCUCAAUCCAAACAUAUUUCUACUAAUCCUUUGAAACCAUUCCUUAACUCCAUUGAGUCAUUUAGAUUUUGGACUUUAUUAAUCUGACGACUCGUAAGGUUCUAGCCUCAUGACUAUUUUUAAAGUGCCAUCUUACUAGAAUACAACUUUUUGUAUUCAUGUCCUACUCAUAAAGACCAUCUUUGCAAGUGUUACUUCGACACUUAAUUAUUCUUUGUACCAUAUAAGUUAUUUUUGCCCCUUGCAACUAUAUUUCUAUAUGAUGAGAAUAUCAUCUUAUCCUCUAAGUACACCCCUAACUCCUUGCAUUGUUCCAAUAUUUCUUAGAGGUAGCUUUAGAUACCCUUUCAAGGAUAUAUAUCCUUGUCUAUAUUUGACCUCCUACGGUCUAACUCUAGUCUUUAAUUCCUGAGCACCAUCCUCAACUAUAUAAGGGUAAUCUUAUAACUUUUUUAUCAUCUAGGAGUUUCUAUCAUUUCUAUAAUCCUAAUUGUAGUUGUUUAUCACAACCAUAUUUUUAAAGUCAAAUGUUUAUAUGAAUUACAUCCUCAACUCUCUAAGAAAAACUUUUUAAUGUUCUUAAGGUCCCAAAGUCGUUCCCUUAUGAGCCCCUUUCUAUCCACCACAUUUAGCAUAUCACAUGGGGACGUUCAAUGUAGUAGAGCCUUUUGUUAACAUAUGAUAGACUAAGGGAUCUAUUGAGAGUUGCUUGGGUAGAGAACAAAUUUUUAUGGAGGUCUUAUGAAAAAAGAAAUAUUGCUAAUCUUUUGUAUAACAAGGUUACUAUUGUGCAAUCGUAAGAAGUCCCUUUACUCCUCAAGAUCUACAUAUAUAAGAUUGUAUCACUUGACACUUGUUGACAUGUUCUAAUACCUCACAGCAAGAUUACACUCAUUUAUCCAAAGUGUUUCAAAGUAAAAGAGAUGCAAAGGGUAUGCAAGCUGUGAUGCGCCUUCAAGAGAAUGACUUGGCCACUGACUUCGAAGGUUUUACCUUGGAAUACAAUGAGAAAUAUGUUUUGAUAAGCAACUUUGCUUCAUCUAUCUUUGUGAUUGUUUUCACAUUGAUUUUGUAGGCCUAGGAUAAGGAGCUUGGUGAGGAGGUUAAAAGCUCGAUUGUGGAUUAAAUAACAUAUUCUAAUUGUAGUUUUGAGUUGUUUCUAAAAGCGAUUCCAAAGAUGAAGUGCAUAUUUAGAAUGAUGAGAUCAACUUUAACUCAUACAAAGGUACUAAGCACUAUAUGUUCUAUGUUUUUCCAACUCGUAAUAUGUUUCUUAUCUAUUUAUAAUUGUGCAAAGAGCAAGGUUGCCUCCUUUGGAUGAAUUAGUGUUGACUACAUGUAUGCAAGGUGACCUCCUUGAGCUUCAGAAAUGGCCGGACUUGAAACGCAAAUAGUAUUAAAUGACAAAUACUUAGUUGGAGAUUCUUUAUAUAAAGGAUGAAAUACAUGGAUUGUCAUUAAAGUGGAGAGUCAUGCCUUCUCAAUAUGCUACUCCUUGAAGAUAGGCCCACUUCUAAGACUUCCUGAUGUUAAUACAAGUGGUGAUAAGAGUUAGACUAAGAAAUAACUCUAAUACCAAGUUAUAAGUGACUAAAUUUUUCAUUCUACUUUAGUCACUUAACAACACCUUUGACCACUUGGAAGAGUUUCACUCACGACCUUUAUAAGUCGUAUUUCUAACUUAGGGAUGUGCUAACUCCGUGAAUAGCAUUUGUGCCACUCAGCCUUUGCAUUUAUUCCAAGUGCUCCACAUGUCCAAUCUCACAAAGACACCCAAAGGUACUAUUAACAUGUCAACCCAUUAUGCUAAGGCCAUGUCUAUUCACUUUUGUCACAUCAAUAGUCCAAAACCAUAUAUAUCAUAGUCUCAUCUCCCAAAUAUUAAGCCAUCUAUCCAUAAGUGGUCAUCCCUUAUCCCUUGACCACACCUUAGCACCCUUAGGAUGCCUAGAAAUAUGGGGAACGCCCUUCCCUAAUAUCCCUUCUUCAGUCCUCACUAAGCCCUACUCUGUCCAUAGCAAUGCUUGCCAUUGAGUCAGGGCCUGAAGGCCUGAACACGAAGUCUCAUUGACCUCUAAGACUUCCUCACCACGUGACCAUGCCCUUAGUGUAGCGCACGUGGUUUUUACCCUUUAUCCUAUGGUGAUUUACCAUAGAAUAACACUACAAAGCGGAACCUAAACCCUCUUUCUGCCAUGUGUCAUAUGCCAUGUGUCCAAAGGACAGUGGUGCGGAACCCGAGGUUCAAGGCCUUAAGCCACUAAACAAAUGAACGGUGCCAAACUCCCAAGCAUGGAGCCAAGGAUGAUGGAACCGGACCAUGGAGCAACUCCUAAGCAUACAGCCCAAGGAGUGAAGGGACAGGAGCCCGGAGAGACUUGGAAUAGUCCUAGAGAAACCAGCAUCCCAUUGCCAAGACCAACACGCAAAACGGAGCCAAACGGAGUCUGGUGCUAUUUCGGCAUACCGGUGGCCUAACGCAAGGACAUGGGUACUCCACUAGCUAGCAUGGAAUGGAACUUAGGCUUAAACCCAAGCCAGACGCAAAAUAAAGACAGGCACGCAAGCAGGAGCUAGACUAUGCCUCAAGUUGGUCGGCCAUACCCGACCUACCCACUAUCCUUACUAUACAUUUGGAACCCCCCACAGCCGCCCCCCCCCCCCCCCCCUUGAGAAACACACGCUUUGGGCUUUCACCCCAAGCCUCCCUUAGUAUCAGGAGUUAGUCUUUGGGACAAGUUCAAAACUUAUUAAAUAUGGAAUGUCCCUAGAUUGUGAAUUUGGACACGGGACGAACACCAUUGUGUUCAGGACGAUCUCUACAUUCCGUAAAUAUGCCAAAUGAGCAAAUCUGGACACUUUCCAUAAAUAGCAUUUGAGACCGAAAUGAGACCAACACAAAGGGCAUGAUAGCAAGGGUGUUUGGCCGACACGGUAAGCUAUCAUUCAGCGAUAUUGAGGGACUAGUCUCAAUACGCGAGGGUUCUUGUCAAGCCAGUGCAAGACAGAGCAAAAGAGAACUAAAAAGCCGGGCCAAGUAUGUUUGGUUAAAUAGACACUUAGGAAUUCCGUCUUUAUGUUCAUCCGGCCAAGUACAGAUGCAAAGUCCAGUUUACGAACACUUGAACAAGAGGGACUGAUAAAGGGUCUAGCAAUACUGACCUCCUGCCAUCGUGGCAGUAAGGUAAGAGUGUCCGUAAGGAUUAGCCGACAGGUAACUUUCGAUACCCGAAGUCACAUUCGCGACACUCUCCCCCCCUAGGGAAGAUCGACGUCCUCGUCGAUGCAUACUCGAGUCUAGAAUACCGCCAAGGAAACAACUCCAGAAAAAGUUCACGAUAUUCACACUAUGUGAGAAAUGCACCAACUUAAAUGAGUUAGGAGGUUGUCUAACGCGGAUGCGCUACCAGCUCAGACACCUUCCGGCCAUCACCGACAAGGAAAUGACCAACGGAGUCAACCACCCUUGUUGCUCUGGGAGUCACCCAGCUUACAAAAGUGUGAUAUGCUCCUGCCUACAGGUACAUAGAGAGAGAAGAAAAAGGCCUCAGCCCUCCUGAGCAAAGAAAUCAAACCCGUCGGUAAUAGACUACUGUAAACAGGUAGUUAGAGUUGUUUACACGGUCACGCCCUUGUAACGGAAUAAGGAACAUCGACAAAGAGGCGGGUUAUGUGACCAGUCUACAGUAGCUACCCCAUGACUAGAGAUUUCACCAUGCACAUGAAGUGUUAAAGCCAAUUUGCCUAUAUUGGCCCAAACGUCAAAGAUCAAUAGAUGGACAAUAUCAAAGUCAUAAACAAUGAUAUCGUAGAGACUUAAUUAUUAGUGAACAUAUUGUAGAUUAGAACACAAAAGUAUUCCAAAUAAGUUAUCAUCUGAUAAACUAGUAUUAUAGUAGACAAGAGCCACCAAGAUCAUCAUAAUUGGUAAACACAGAAAUCACCAUCCAACAAAAUUCAAUAGUAAGUAUAUCAUCAAGGAAACUCAAUGAUGAGACUUAACUACUGAAGAUGGUAGACAGUAUGCCAAACAACUUACUAAAGAGAACUCAAAAACACAAAGUAUCAUUGACUGACAAACACAAUGCUCGCGAAUGUAUCACCCAAAGGAAAUAUCAUCCAACCUAUCAGAACGAACUCAAGCAAUAAUCAACAGAAUAGAAUGAAUGCGGUAAGACCAAUAAACACCCAUUCAUGCCAACUAUCAUAGAAGCCAAUCUGAACAGAUCCCGGUCAACAAUGCCAAGGAACUAAAGUUGCUCAAGCAAGCAUCGGCAACAUCCUAUCGAUGUCUCAAACCCAAGAGACCAAUUCAGAGCAAACCACAAAGAAAUAUGUGGUAUUGCGAAAAGCCAAAAGCUAUCAAAGAGAACAACUAACCAUUAUGAAAGAUUAUCAAUCAUCCCAUCAAUAAAGAGAUGCAUAAUCAUCAUUGAAGAAAGAAUUUAACAUUUCGAAGAAUAGCAAAUCAUUCUAUAUCAACAACAAUCAAGCAAAACCUUUGAUAAGGAUAAUCAACUAUCUUAGAUGAUAGUCAAUCAUCAACAAUGAUUGCCAAAAUGCAAAUAUUAACUUCAACAUCGAAGCUAACAAGCCAAAAUGCCUUCCCCAACAACUUCUAACAAAUGGACCACAAGCACAAAAACUCAAGGAACCAAAAGUUCGAAGAAGCCUAUACCUAAGUCUUACUUAACAACAAUCAUGAGUCUUGUAUAGACUAACUUCAAUGCUAAAGAAGAAAUCAUGGUAUAACCCACAAUAUCCUCCUUAAUACAUCCAAAAGCUAAACUUCAUAAUGCAAAGCUAAUGAAGAGCACAGCUGCAUCAAUCAAAAGCUAAGCAUAAUGGAGCUAUGCUCAACAAGUGAUCACUAAACGAUCCUCCAUGAAUCCAUCUAUAGCAAGACGUAACUCACUUCAUAACAAGCACAAGAAGAAUCAUUAAUGAUCGAUAUAUUCCAACUCAAACCCAAUAAAGAUUCAAACUUUCCAAAUUGAUCACUAACUCUUCCGCUUGUAGAGUUAGUAUAACCCACGACUAAAUCACUUUUCAAGGAAAAGCCAAAGCUCAACCCCUACUAAAUAAUCUCGUCUAAAACACAACUAACUCAAACUUGCCACUCAGUUCAUUUGAACGUCAACAUAGUUGCUAACUAGCAAAUGCGCGAAUGCUAAUAACACAAAGCUACAACCAAAUCAUCAACACUAUCUCUAUCGAGACCAAUAAAACUCAAUAUCAAUCUUAAGGAGAGACAUUUCAUUUCACUUGAAUCUCAACAUUAAUAAUGUUAAUGACAAGGCAUCACUUCAAUGCCAUUAUCACCAUAACAAAGCUAGAAGAAAAUAAGAGUGAAUCACCACCCAAAGCUCUCUAGCUGUAGCGCACCUGAAUUUGGAGCCGAACUCCAAGCCCGUUGCACUACUAAACGAGGGUCCGGUACAAUCCCACGAGCACCAGCUCCUCGUAUCCAGCACCUGCACGCAAAAUGGUGUCAGACGGAGUCUGGCACAAUUUUGGUAUACCGGUGGCCUAACGUGAGGAGGAGGGUACUCCACCGACUAGAGCAGCGUGGAGCUUGGGCUUAGACCCAAGCCGGACGCAGAACAAGGAGCGACACAGCCCAGCGGGAGCCAAACUAAUGUCUCAGGUGGUCGGACAUGCAUUCCAACCACUAUCCCUACUAUACAUUUGGAACCCCCCACAGCCCCCCCCCCCCCUUGAGGGACACACGCUUUGGGCUUUCACCCCAAGCCUCCCUUAGUACCAGGAGUUAGUCUCUGGGACAAGUUCGAAACUUACUAAAUAUGGAAUGUCCUUAGAUUGCGAAUUUGGACACGGGACGAACACCAUUGUGUUCAGGCCGAUCUCUACAUUCCGUAGAUAUGCCAAAUGAGCUAAUCUAAACACCUUCCAUAAAUAGUAUUCGGGACCGAAAUGAGACCAACACAAUGGGCGUGAUAGCGAGGGUGUUUGGCAGACACGGUAAGCUAUCAUCCGGCGAUAUUGAGGGACUAGUCUCAAUACGCGAGGGUUCUUGCCAAACCAGUGCAAGACAGAGCAAAAGAGAACUAAAAAGCCGGGCCAAGUAUGCUUGGCAAAAUAGACACUUAGGAAUUCCGUCCUUAUGCUCAUCCGGCCAAGUACAGAUGCUAAGUCCAGUUUACUAACACUUGGACAAGAGGGGCCAAUAAAGGGAACCAGCAGUACCGACCUCCUGCCGUCAUGGCAGUAAGGAAAGAGUGCCCGUAAGGACUGGUCGACAAGUAUCUUUCGAUACCCGAAGUCACAUUCGCGACACUCUCCCCCCCUUGGGGAAGAUCGACGUCCUCGUCGAUGCAUACCCGAGUCUAGCAAACCGUCAAGGAAACAACUCCGAAAGUUAACGGAAAGCACACUAUGUGGGAAACGCACCGACUUAAAUGAGGUAUGGAACGACCUCUCCUCUACGUCCAAAGAUGUUAAGACUCAAACACCCUCCGGCCGUCACCGACAAGGAAAUGACUAGCAAAGUUAGCCACCCUUGCUGCUCCGAGUACCACUCGGCUUACAAAGGAAUGAUACAUCCCUGCCCGCAGGGACAUAGGGAGAGGGCCAGGGGCCCAACUUCCCCUGAGCAAGAAAUCUACCCCGUUGGGAAGAUUUAGAUAACUACUAUAAACUGGCAGAUUAAGUUGUUUACACGACCACGCCCCUUUUCGAAAAUGAGUCAUCGAGAGAGAGGCGGGGACUUGUGAUCAGUCUAUAAUAGUUAUCCCCAUGGUUAUGGAUUGGACCCAUGCACCGAAGUGCCGAAGUCAGUCUGCCAAAACUGACCCAAGUACGAACGAAUGAGAGGAAUGACACUUUGAUUUAUAGAAAUAUAUUACUUUAUUAAUUUGCAAGAUUUAUUACAAGGUUUUUACAAAACUAGUCUUUAUGGCUAUUCUCAUAUUCCGUGACAAGCUCACGGGCAUGGGUAAGAUUACUAAGGGGCUCCCAAGUUGAUUCACAAGUUGGGUAACCUUUCCACUUAACUAGAUACUCCCGACGUUUGGCACGUUUAAGCUAGCGCGAAUCCAAAAUAGCUUUGACUUCAUACUCAGGUUCACCAUCCACAACGUCUGGUGGUGGACGAAUCUCCCGUUGACGUGCAACAUCCAUAGUGUAAGGUGCCAAUAAAUUGGCAUGAAAUACAUUAUGAACAUUGGACAUCUCCGCAGGCAGAUCCAACCGAUAGGAUACAUCACCAAGACGUUUUAACACCCGAUAGGGCCCAACAUAUCUCGGCAAGAGCUUCCGAGACAAAGAACCCUUAAUGUUCAAGUUUCGGGAAGAUAGCCACACCUGAUCUCCCACUUGAUAAGAUACAUCCCGACGAUGCUGAUCCUUAUCACGUCGAUACCUAUCCUGAGCUUUGCCCAUCGCCUCAGUAGCUCUAGACCAACCUUGGCGUAGCUGCUCCGCAUAAGUCUCAACGGCUGGAACCAACACUUCGGACAUUGGUUUCGGUACAACAAUCUGUUGAGGAACCCCACGAGCAUUUCCUUGCAGCAUCUCCCAUGGAGAGCAGCCGAUAGCGCUGUGAAAUGUGUUGUUAUAACAUAUUUCUGCUGUAUCCAAAUGCUCAACCCAGUCGCGUUGGUCCGCUGCGACAUAGUACCGCAGAUAAUCCUCAACUUGAGCAUUCACGCGUUCGGUCUGCCCAUCAGUUUGAGGAUGAUAAGCCGUACUAAACUUCAACUUGGUACCAAACAACUGAAAUAGGGUUCCCCAAAACUUCCCCGUAAACCUUGAAUCUCUAUCUGAGAUCAUUUCUUCAGGAAGACCACGAACUCGCACUACUUCAUGGAAAAAGAGCUUUGCUGCUUGUUUCGCAUUUACUGUUCCCACAGUUGGAAUGAAGUGUGCAAUCUUCGACAACCGAUUCACAACCACCAUCAAAGUAUCAUAACCCUUAGACUUCGGCAAGCAAGUGACGAAAUCAAGUGUCACACUUUGAAAUGGCCAUGCCGGUGCUGGAAUGCACUGCAACUUUCCAGCCUGCUUCUCAGCUUUGCGCUUACAUUGCUGGCAUAUAGGGCAGGAACGGACAUAGUCCGCUACAUCACCUUCCAUACCAGACCAGAAAAAUCCCUUUUUCAAUGAAGCUAGCGUCUUUCGCUGUCCACCAUGUCCCACUGCUGGAACAUCAUGAUGUUCCCGCAAAAAUAACUGCUGCAGAUCCUUAGAGGGAAGAUACAAUCUUUCUUGCUUAUAGAAUAUAAGCCCAUCCCGAACUGAGAAGUGAAGCUUCGCAUUAGUGCGACUAGCAACUUUUGCUGCUUCGCUACCAGGGCUCUGCUUCAACAACCCCGCACGGCAUAAGAUUGCCUUCGCCAAUGGAUCACUUCCAUACGAAGCUCGAACGUCUUCUAACCAGUCUGAACUUAUUGCCGACAUUGUCCGGAAUUGAGCCUGACGACUUAACGCAUCCGGAACAAUAUUGUCCUUACCAGGUUUAUAUAUGAUUUCAAUAUCAUAUCUAGCUAGCUUCUCUUGCCAACGAGCCUGCUUUGGCGUAAGCUUAGGCUGCGUAGCAAAGUAGCUUAGUGUGUUACUAUCUGUAUAAACCUUGGUGUGUCCACCCAAGUAGUGUCUCCAGUGUUCCAGGGCCGACACUAUAGCAAACAUCUCUUUCUCAUGCGUUGGCCAUCUUCGUUGGGUUUCAUCCAAUUUCUUGGAAUAGAACGCAACGGGACAACCAUGUCGCCUUAGCGUAACACCAACGGCUUUGUCACAAUCUUGCUGUAACACGGCACCAAUAGCAUAACCAGAUGCAUCACAAUGCACUUCGAAGGGUUUAUCAAGAUCCGGGAUCCUGAGAACAGGAACCGUAGUCAAGAUCUCCUUCAAUCGUACAAAAGCACGCUGACAAGCUAGUGUCCAAUGAAACGGAAUAUUACUCUUCGUCAACUCAGUCAACGGAAGAGCAAUUCUUGCAAAAUUGCAGACAAACUUGCGAUAGUAUCCCGCCAAACCGAGAAAGGAACGAACAUCUGAUACAGUGGUCGGGACUUCCCAGGACUUCACCGCUUCCACCUUCUUUGGAUCGACUUCAAUCACGCCACCACCAACUAUAUGUCCGAGAAAGUUUACGCGCAAUUGACCAAAAGCGCAUUUACUUUCCUUAGCAUACAGUUUGUGUUCGCGCAACUUCUGAAACACCAGCUCCAAGUGUUUCAAAUGAUCCUCCAACGUCUCGCUGAAGACUAGAACAUCGUCGAUGUAUAGGACAACAAAUGCGUCCAAAUAAUCUCCGAAUAUUCUAUCCAUCAUAGUGCUGAACGUUGCUGGAGCAUUGCAUAACCCGAAUGGCAUGACAAGGAACUCGUAAGAUCCGUACCGAGUCUUAAAGGCUGUCUUCUCCACAUCCUGAUCCGCCACCCGUAUCUGAUGAUACCCGGACCGCAAAUCAAGUCGCGUAAAAUACUUAGCCUUUAAGAGUUGGUCAAACAAGUCAUCAAUGCGAGGCAAAGGAUAACUGUUCUUGAUCGUGAUCUUAUUGAGUGCCUGAUAGUCAAUACACAUCCUCAUGGUUCCAUCCUUUUUCAUAACAAAAAGGAUUGGUGCUCCAUAAGGUGACUUGCUGGGUCAGAUAUGACCUUUGUCAAGUAGCUCCGUGAGUUGCUUAUUGAGUUCAGCCAUCUCCUUGAUGUUCAACCGAUACGGAGCUUUCGUAGGUGGUUUAGAACCCGGAAUAACCUCAAUCCGAUGAUCAACCUCACGGCUAGGGGGUAGCCCUGGUGGCAAAUCCUUCGGGAAGAUAUCCUGAUUCCGCGCCAACAACUCCAAUAUCUUCUUUGGUACAGGAUCCACCCCGUCGCCAAUUCGAACAGAGUCACCCACCCUCUCAGCUUCCAUCACUUGAACCCAAAAGGUCCGACAUCCCCUCUUAGUUGCUUUUUGAGCGGCCCUCGCAGUCAGGAACUUUCCAUCCCAAUCCUUUGAGGAACACUUUUGCAACUGGAAGGACACAUCGGGUCGUCCUUCGGACUUCAACGUGAUACGACUUUGUCCAGCACCAUAAAUCCCUUUUAUAUACUUGUUGAAGAAAUCCAUACCAAACACCAUCUGAAAAUCUGGUAUCUUCAACACUACCAAGUCCACUCUUUCUUUCCACUUGGAUAUCUUUAUUGGAACAUCACUCACAAACUUUCUGGCUACUUGCCCACCUUCCGCAAACCGGAAGUGCAUAGGCGACAUUUGCUCAGCAUUCAAUCCUAACAACUUAACUAAGUCUUCGGAUAUCACGCUGUGCGUAGCUCCCAUGUCAAUCAUCACUCGGAUUCGGUGUCCACGGACAAAGCCUACCAGAUACAUCAACGGAUCAGUAUUUGCAUUGACUGUAAGAAAAGCUUGAGGAAAGCAACGAAAGUUACUCACCUCUUGCUCCUCAUAGUCUGCAUUGACCAACUCGUCAACCCCUUCAGCUUCAUCACCACCGUCUUCCCUCAUGACAUUAACUCGAGACCUUGUCUUAUGCUUGUUGGGACAAUCCGAGGACCUAUGUCUCGACUCUCCACAAUGGAAGCAAUGACCCACACUACCCGUUCCGCUAGGAGCAAGUUUUGCAGGUUGCUGCUGCUUGUACCCACCAGGAGGAGGAACAGAGGGCCUAGGACCAGAAGAAGCUGCUGGUGGUCUCCAACCACCACCACCUUUGUUAACCGUUGCUUGUGAGCCUCCAGGGCGGAACCUACUUUCCACCCUCUGUUUCCGAUCACCUUGUUUAUUCCCAGAAUUCCUAUUCUUGUCCGAGUUACCAGCAUACGGUUGCUGAUAUUGUUCCAUGAGUGAGUGACUAAAGGCAACUUGCUGCGCUGCCUCCUUACACUCCAGAUACGUCUUCGGCUUAAACUUCAAAAUCUCAUUGCGAGAAAGUGAAUUUAAACCCUCCAGAAAAUAACUCCGAGCAUCUUCGUCACUCAUAUUUGCAAUCAUAAUGCGCUUCUGAGCAAACGCAUUAACGUAAUGCAUGAGAUCACCUCGCUGCUUUAACCGCCGCAGCUCCGCGCGAAGUCUCAGACCAAGAUCAUCUGGCAAGUAUUCCUUACGGAUACGAGACCGCAUCUUGGUCCAACUUCUAGUCUGCCCUUUUUCAGCACACACUUGGCGCCACCAAGUUUUGGCAUGAUCGGUGAGAAAGGAUUGCGCGCACGCAACUUUCGUACGAUCAUCUACGUCUGUUGCUAUGAAGUAGUUCUCCAUAUCGUAGACCCAGUCUUCCAAAACCUGAUAGUCCCGCAUGCCUCUGAAGUUGGGUGGUUUCGGAGGCUUGAACUUUGAAACUCGUGCAAUCGGGGGCGGUUGCAGAACUUCUUCGUCCUCAGAACUUGAAGAGGAGUCUGGUUGCUUAGGCUUAGCUGGUUUAGCUGCCUCAGCUUCUUUCUUCCUCUUCUUGUUCUCCUUCUUCAAUUUGCGAAUCUCCUUUCGCAAAUUCUCGAUCUCGACUUCCUGAGCCGUACGCUGCAACGCCGCAGCAUUUGGCUCUUCCUCUUCCGACUCAGCCUCUGCCUCUACCGCAGCAUCUCUAGCAGGACUUUCCUCCUCUCGAUUUGCCCGUCUAGAGGUUUCAGCGUCAUCAGCACGGUUCCGUUUCACCAUCCCGCUAGCUGCAUACAUGCCUCUAUCAGUAACUGAACAUGCAUACAACGUUCUUACCGAAUGGUGCAAUCCAACUAAUCCUACACAGGUCACUUCGGAUCUACUAGAAAAGUCUCUGCGUAUGCAACUUGAGUCAGAAAAUCUGACAAAAGUUGGAUAGGAAUCGCUGAGACAAUUCCUCUGAUACCAAAUGUAGCGCACCUGAAUUUGGAGCCGAACUCCAAGCCCGUUGCGCUACUAAACGAGGGUCCGGUACAAUCCCACGAGCACCAGCUCCUCGUAUCCAGCACCUGCACGCAAAAUGGUGUCAGACGGAGUCUGGCACAAUUUUGGCAUACCGGUGGCCUAACGUGAGGAGGAGGGUACUCCACCGACUAGAGCAGCGUGGAGCUUGGGCUUAGACCCAAGCCGGACGCAGAACAAGGAGCGACACAACCCAGCGGGAGCCAAACUAAUGUCUCAGGUGGUCAGACAUGCAUUCCAACCACUAUCCCUACUAUACAUUUGGAACCCCCCACAGCCCCCCCCCCCCCCUUGAGGGACACACGCUUUGGGCUUUCACCCCAAGCCUCCCUUAGUACCAGGAGUUAGUCUCUGGGACAAGUUCGAAACUUACUAAAUAUGGAAUGUCCUUAGAUUGCGAAUUUGGACACGGGACGAACACCAUUGUGUUCAGGCCGAUCUCUACAUUCCGUAGAUAUGCCAAAUGAGCUAAUCUAGACACCUUCCAUAAAUAGUAUUCGGGACCGAAAUGAGACCAACACAAUGGGCGUGAUAGCGAGGGUGUUUGGCAGACACGGUAAGCUAUCAUCCGGCAAUAUUGAGGGACUAGUCUCAAUACGCGAGGGUUCUUGCCAAACCAGUGCAAGACAGAGCAAAAGAGAACUAAAAAGCCGGGCCAAGUAUGCUUGGCAAAAUAGACACUUAGGAAUUUCGUCCUUAUGCUCAUCCGGCCAAGUACAGAUGCUAAGUCCAGUUUACUAACACUUGGACAAGAGGGGCCAAUAAAGGGAACCAGCAGUACCAACCUCCUGCCGUCAUGGCAGUAAGGAAAGAGUGCCCGUAAGGACUGGUCGACAAGUAUCUUUCGAUACCCGAAGUCACAUUCGCGACACUAGCAACCAAGCUAACCAAAGUCGAAGAUACUUUAGUUAGUAUCCAAGAUCAAUUCUUCAAUAAUACUCAGCUACAGAUAACACUUCAUCAAUGAGUGAUUCACCACAUCCAAGACUCAAUGAAAUUCAACACCACAGACUAAACGUAACCAAAUGAUAUCGAUAAAGGUAGAAUCGAUAUGAUAACAUAGAAAACCCAUAUAAGUCUAACAACAUGAUCCUCCGCAACACCAUCCGGCAAAGUAAACCCAUCACUGCUAAAUCAUCAUCGAGUGAAGCAAGUGUCACAGUCUUUGAUGAAGUCUACAAGCAAUCACUAGUCGCAAAACAACCAACAAUCACUCUUCAACUUGCUUUCACAAGGCCCAAACACUAAACUCAUGCCAUUAAGUCAUAUAUUUGUCCAAUAUGAAUGUAAUACCUCAUGGACAAGAUAAAGAUUCAUAGACAAGCAUAAACUAAAUGACCACUUGAAUCUAACUCAACCGCAAUAAGCUCACCAAUGCAUUUAGCCACUAGCUCUGAGCAUGCCUUGAAGAGGCUAGCUAUGUGUGAUUAACACUUAGUCAGAACUAAAGUGAAGACCACGAGAUGGACUCCUAUCGGUACACAACUUCCACUUUGACAAGGUAUAAUAUAGGUACUAACAUCUCAACCUCAAACAACUAAGUUGAACAUCACCAUCCUUAGCCAAGGCGCAAAACCACCAAGACCAAAUCAAGAUCAGUGAGAGCUCAUUACUCUUAUAGAGUCUAACGAAAUGCAAGGUGCAACCUACCACCAAGCUGAACACUAUAGAAGAAAGGCACAAGGGUCACCUUUCUAGAAAAAUGCAAUGGCCACCUUUCUACACCAACUCCAGACUCUAUCCAACUCAAUUGCCUUAGCCCCAAAAGUCAGCAUCCCUUUCAGGCCGCAUCAUACAAACUAUCUACUAGAAUCUAAGCCAAUUGAAGUCAACUCCAACCCCUUCACUAGUUUGUACUAGCUUUAUGAAAACAUAAUGGUUUUUGAGCAAAGUGAUCAAUAGAUCAGCCAUUGAAAAAGUCUAAGAAAAUUUGUGGAAAAUUUCCAUCUUAGAGAAAGAAUGACUCUUAGUCUAGGACUGUAAACUUUCAAGACUCAACCAACUUCCUCCUACUAACAACUUCACAUAAGUUCAUUUUAACACAAUAUCUCAUGACCCAUAGUAUGCUUAAGUCUCGAACAUCUUUUUUUGCCCAUACUUCUGACAUCUAACACUGACAUCCGCAAAAUGCAAAAUGAACAUCCAAGGUUUGAUCACGAAGACCAUAUCUUUGGACAUUCAUAAUGCACUAACACUCUUCUUCAACCACCUUCAAGAUCCAAUGUGAAGCCAAAACACUAACAAGAAAAAUGACAUAGAAAAUCAAGUUAAGGAAAAUUCCUCAUCACUUGAACAAUAAUGCCACUUCCACUAACACAAGUGCUAGCGAUGUCAAUACCUCAAUUACACACUUUCUCCAUAGAAUAAUUUACUCCAAGUGUUAACAGAUCAACCGACAAGCCAUAGCAAGUGAAUGCUACAACCCUUUUCCAACACCUCAAUGGGCAAACUUAAGGAACAAACUUAAGCUUAGCAUAAUGAACCAUCAUCGAGAAUCCAGUCAAAGCUACUACAAUGCUACUUUAUGCAAGUAGACUAGCUUCACCAUUAACCACUUUGGGGUUGAUCAUCGUUUAACAAAGCAACUUCGUAAACAUAUCGCUCAUUAUCACAUGGAUAUGAUAUAAGUAUCACAAUGACUUGGUCAUCAAUUGAGCAACACCACGAGCAACACCCAUGUCAUUACUUCAAAGGUUUAUGUGACUAUCAAGUGCCAACUCGAUCGACAAAAUGCAACAUAAAUGCCACACUCCACUAAUAGAGAUUUACAACACUGAACACCACUAACUUUUGUUCACAACAUGGACAAGCUCAAGCCACUCUCUAUCCGACUAAACUCAACACUAAUCUAACACCAAGUUACUCAAGGAGCAAUAGCAAAGUUCCCUAGAAAAGAAUUGAGCAUUGCAACCCAAGUCUUCAAUAGCAAACCUAGACAAAAUGGUAUAGCGCUUCACCACUAUCCAUCCCUUGGCUCACCAUUUGCAAGACCAUCAUUUUCCAUAUGCACCAAGAUAGGCAAUCUUUAUUGCAUAAUGUGACCACGAGCAAUAAGUUAUACCUUGCUGCGAAUCAUCUCUCCAAGAAGAGAAAAUGAUUUACAUGUUUGAUCCUUCGUCCUUGACGACUUUCUUUUCGGUCUCAUUUUUUACUAAACCUCAAGCUUGCGUUCGCACUGCCUUCAGUCCAAUCCAAGAAAAGUUUAUGAGAGAGCAUGACAAUGAUUAUUUGAAUCAAUAGACUCAUCCCUACAGUCUUAGUUAAUCCACUUGUAAUCAUGCCUAGGAAGGAUCCACUAGUGCUGUGCUAAAUAGCUACGGACUAGCAUAUUUACCACUCAUAGCAAACCCAGGGAAAGUUUACUUUCACCCUUGGUACAUGGAACAACUCAUAGAACCACCGAUAGGCUAACAUUAAUCCUGCCAACUCAAAGUGUAUCCUCGAGUUACUAAUGCGCCUCACUCACGAGUCCAAGCUCAAACUCGUGCGAACAGAACAACUCAAUCCCUCUUGUGAGCCCAAGCUCAAGCUCACAGAAUAUGGUACAACAAGGGAACCAAAUCCAUACUCAAGGAACGAAUGUGAAGCCUUUGCACCAAACAUGUACCCACUUGAAUCAUCAUUUUCAUCUCUGUGUAUGCAAUGAGACUAGUUGCCCAAUCUCAUUGUAUAGUACUCGCUGAGACGUAUCCUCUGAUGCCAAAUGUAGCGCAUGUGGUUUUUACAUUUUAUCCUAUAGUGAUUUACCAUAGGAUAAAACCACGAAGCGGAACCUAAACCCUCUUUAUGCCACGUGACACAUGCCAAGUGUCAUAUACCACGUGUCCAAAGGACAGUGGUGCAGAACCCGAGGUUCAAGGCCUUGGGCCACUGAACAAAGGAACGGUGCCAAACUCCCAAGCAUGGAGCCAAGGAUGAUGGAACCAAACCAUGGAGCAACUCCCAAGCAUACAGCCCAAGGAGCGAAGGGACAGGAGGCCAGAGCGACUUGGAACAGUCCUAGAGCAACUAGCAUCCCAUUGCCAGGACUAGCACUCAAAACGGAGCCAAACAGAGUCUGGUGCUAUUUCGGCAUACUGGUGGCCUAACGCAAGGACAUGGGUAUUCCAUCAGCUAGCAUGGAAUGGAACUUGGGCUUAGACCCAAGCCAGACGCAGAAUAAGGACAAGCACGCAAGCAAGAGCUAUAUUAUGCCUCAGGUUGGUCAGCCAUGCCCGACCUACCCACUAUCCCUACUAUACAUUUGGAACCCCCCACAGCCCCCCCCCCCCCCCCCCCCCACCUUGAGGAACACAUGCUUUGGGCUUUCACCCCAAGCCUCCUUUAGUAUCAGGAGUUAGUCUCUGGGACAAGCUCGAAACUUACUAAAUAUGGAAUGUCCCUAGAUUGCGAAUUUGGACACGGAACGAACACCAUUGUGUUUAGAACAAUCUCUACAUUCCGUAGAUAUGCACAAAGGGCAUGAUAGCGAGGGUGUUUGGCAGACACAGUAAACUAUCAUCCAACGAUAUUGAGGGACUAGUCUCAAUACACGAGGGUUCUUGUCAAGCCAGUGCAAGACAGAGCAAAAGAGAACUAAAAGCUAGGCCAAGUAUGUUUGGCUAAAUAGACACUUAGGAAUUCCGUCCUUAUGCUCAUCCGGCUAAGUACAGAUGCAAAAUCCAGUUUACUAACACUUGAACAAAAGGGACUGAUAAAGGGUCUAGCAAUAUCGACCUCUUGCCAUCGUGCCAGUAAGGUAAGAGUGUCCGUAAGGACUAGCCGACAGGUAACUUUCGAUACCCGAAAUCACAUUCGCGACACUUAGUCACUAAGCAAAAGGACUAUUCCUUUUCCUUUCCAUAAUCUGUGACUUUGGGAUGACAUUUCGGAACACCAUAACCCUAUAAGAGCUUUGUGGUACUCUCCCCACCUUCUCCCUUUGAGUGUCCUAGCCAUGUUGAUAGAGCAAGGUUCUGAUAAACCAUGCUAAGUAACUAAGUAGAUAGUGCCACCCACACUUGGAUUGGGAGCAUCGACCAUUCGAUCCCCCUAGGGAGCUAAAACCAGAUCUUGAACACUUCACCAAGCUACAUAAUUUGUCUGUCUUCAUUCACUUUAUCUUGGGACUCUUUAGUGGUUAUAUCGUCAUCCACCAAGUGGGUGUAGCCUUCCUAGGUCACACUAGCCUUUUCUUGGCUAAAUUGGUUCUACUGGAGUCCAAACCUUACACUCUCUCUACUAUACUUUUGGAACCCUUUGCAGCCCCCCACGAUCGCUUUGGGUUUUCACCCACAACUUGUAUUAGUAUUCAAACUAGGGAGUUCAAAGUUAGGAGUGGCAAUAUGCUUCAUUGGUUUGAAGGGGCACAAAGUCUGACUAUAGGCCUAGUAUAGAGAUGCAUUAGAUGUCAAGGACAAUAUAGUUGGGGUAUGUGAGUCAUGUGGGACAAGAUAGGUGUUGAAGUUGGUAUGUCUAUUUAGGAGGUUAUGGGCCAUGAGCAUUGGGCGGUAUAGUGAGCGAUAGGAGUAUUGGCAUUUUGGGAGGCAUGCAAUCACUAUCACUUUGACGGACAACAAGUGAAGAUUUCAGCUAUUGUGGCUAUGUGGUAGAAAUUUACUUUGGCAAUUGUGCACCUUCACUAUGCCAUUCUGAAGGAAUGAGUGAAACCUAAGUGGCUUGGAGAAUGGUGAAGCUAGUGGCUCUUGUAUUUUAGUAAGAUGGUCGACAACAAGGUUCGCUACAUGGAGGGCAUUUGGACAUUGACAUGAUCCACAAGAAACAUCCAUGUCCACUUUUACUUCAGAACUAGAUCCAUGUGAAAUAUGAGAAGAGUAGCUUAAAGGGUAGUAAGCCAGAUUUUUGUAUUAGCCUCCUUGAGAUAUUGAAAAAUAUACAUACAAGUUCACUAAAAUAAGACUUUGCAUAUGAGGAAUGAUAGUGCAAGUGUCUUGGUAGACAUGGUAAGUUAUUAUUUAGUGAAUACUGAGGGAAUAUACUCAAUAUCAUAGGGGUUUUUAACAUUAACAAGUAUAAGUUAACAACAUGAGUUUCUCAUCACUAUGUCAAGUAUGUUUAAUUGAUAAUUUAGAAUUUCCUUCCUUAGUGCCUUUCUAGUCUAAGUGCAAAUGAAUGACUCAACUAGCUUGGGUGGAAAUUAUUAAAGGGUAUAACAAUACCAACCUCCUGCCAUUGUUGUAGUAAAAGAAGAAUUUCUAAAAAGACUUUAAUACUUCACAACACACUUUAUCUGCCUAAUAUUACAGCAUUUGGUUUAUCUAAAGAGAUCUUUGCCUAGUGGAAUGAUUGUUGUGAGCUUUGGUAUAAUAUUCAAUAGGCCAAUAUUCUAGAAAUUAUGCACAAUUGAAGCACUUUGUACAAAGGGAUUAAGAAUAAAUUAUACCACUUAUAGAUCUAUCGGUGCUUCCUCUUAAUCAUUAAUAAGAAAACCUUAAAUUGCCUUUGAUCCUUUUAAGAGGAGGGGACCAUGUGAAGUUUAAGUGAUAAUAUAUAUUGUUAUUAUAAUGGGAUUUUAAUAACCAUCAAAUUGAUUUAAAUUCAGACCACUCACUCUUGUAUAUAAGUUAGGGAUUUUGGGCUAAUUGAAUAUAUACAUUUUUGUAUUCUAUGCACUUACAUACCUUUAAAUGUGGUAUUUAAAAUAAUUUUAAUCAAUUAAUCCCUCCCUGAUUGGAUCAUGUUAGCUUAUAUAGAAGGUGUUGGAGGGAGUGUUCUAAUCUUUUGACAAACUGGAAGACAAAACUAGAAGACUAUAGCAUUGUCUCAUAGAGUAUAAUGAUUUUACAUUCACAUAUAUUAUAUAGUGGAGUAGAGUUUUAUGUAGUGCUCAUGGAUGCAAAUGCCUUUGUGACAGAAACUCUAGACUAGUCUCUCAUUGUUAGAAAUAUUAUGCAAUUCCUACUGAGAUUGCUCGAAUUCUUUGUUCAAGAGUUAUGUGUGUCAAGAGUGUUAUCCAAGGACUAUAUUAUAAACAUUAAGCAAGGAACUGGAAAGUAGAGGCCAAAGUCUAAGUACAAUUUUCCCAUCAUAUCUCUUGAUCCUAUUUGGAGGAGUGAGAGAAAACUAAAAACCCUAGCUCUCUUAUAUCUGGAUAUUUUAAGUAUAUUCUUUAUACUCUAAUCAUUUUGAACUUCUACAUUAAUACACAUCCCAGGUCUAGGCAUAUUUAAAUUUUAAGUUGAGGUCUAGAAGGGGAUCAAGUUUAAUAGUGAAGCAACAUUAACACCAUUGGAACUCCAUUCUUGGGAACUAGAGUCCUAGCAACUAUGGAGUUGUGAUGAUAAUCAGGUGAUGGAAUCAUUGCAAUAAGGAGGCCACAAUAAUCUUGGCUUGGACUUGAGAGUAAGCCCGACCAUGCAAGCCUGCCCACUAUACAAGAAUGGCAUGAAAGCCAUGUGAGCUGCCAAGCUCCUAUGCAAAGCACUUGGGAUUAAACUCAUUUGCGUCCUCUCCCCACAUUUUGGCACUAUAUUGCAUCAUGGUAUUGUGCACGGAUACUAGUAUGAAGAGGUGGUUGACAUAGCAAUCUUUGAGUGCUACUUGAUGAAUGAUUGGGAACACAGGAUGGAGUUGCAACAUUUCCAUGAUAUCAUCUCAACCUGCUUGGAAGACCAUGAGAAAACUAUAGAAAGCAUACUAGCUUGAACUUUUCUAGCACUUUGGCAAUGAGCUCCAAGACUUCCACUCAAGCCUUCUCCUGCUAUUCUGGAUUCACAGCCAGAAGCAGCAUAACCCACAAGUACAACAAAGUGAGUGAGACAUGCCUAGUUGUAUAGAAGGUUUUAUGAUAUUAAGCUUGUCAUAAGUUGUUGUCAAGCAUCACACACUCUUGUAAGCAAGGUUGAUCCCGAUCAUUAUGAAUGGCAACUGCCUGACUAAUUGAUUGUGGUUAUUAAUCAGCCGUGAAAGUGUUAAAUGGCUGACUGGUUCUUUUUUUUAUUUAAAAAAACAUUUUUAGUAAAAGAAAACUAAUAAAUUUUUUUAAAAAACCAAAACAUUAGAAAUCAAUUACUAUUCAUUUUCUUCAACAAUUUUUAACAACUUCCUCAACAUCUCCAACAUCUUCCUCAACAAUCCUUACAUUCUCAUUUGGAAGAUCUUCUUUAACUUCCAUCUCUAAAUCUUUUAUACCAAUAAAUUUAAACUUAGUUUGCAUCUCUACAAUCUUCAUCCAUUAUAGUUCUAUUGUAAUUGUAUUAAGAUUAAUCUCUAAAAAUUUCAUUCCUUCAAUUUCAACACGAUCCACCACUCUAGUGUUAUAACUUCUUCAAGUUCUCGAGAAGCAAGUGAUUCCAUUAUUUGAUUUGGAUCAAGUUUCAAUUACUUCAAUUUUGCUUAUAUGAAGAAGAAUACAUUCCUUGUCUCAACACAUGAAGUGCAAACUUCCUCAACUCGGGUAUCUCAUACCUAUAGAACUCCCAUCAAAACAUUGGGAAUUUCUUUUUUGCUUUGCACUUUAGCAAAUCCUGAUUAAUAGCUAUUCUAAUUCCUCGUCAAAACAUAUUGAAUUAUUUAUCCAACUUCUCUUUCAGCUAAGUGUCCCUAUAGCAAUAGAGCUAUGCAUCAUAAACCAUUGAGCUUUUUGUCUACAUUAGUUUUGAACCAAGACACACUUAGUUAUAUCAAUUUUAUCUACAUCAAACUUGUUAUUUUGAACUAUAAGCUCUAAUCCUUUAAUCAUACAAUAUAUUGCUUCAUAGAUUAAAUUUGUUGUUGCACCUUUGUGAUUGGCAAGACAUAACACCUUCAAAAUAGGAGCUAUUAUAAUCAAUAAAGUAGAAACAUUCUUCUAAAAUUCAUCAUUAAAAAUUAUUGUGCAAACAUCUUUGGCAUCCUUUUGUAAGUGAAUAAUUUUUCCAUUUUACUUUAAUCACUUAACCACACCUCUAACCACUUGGAGGAGUCUCACUCACAACAUCCAUAAAUCCUAUUUCGGACUUAGGUUUGCUAGCCCCGAGAAUGGCAUCCCCGCCACUCAACCUUUGCACUUGGUCCAAGUGCUCCACGUGUCCGAUCCCAUGACUAACAUCCCAAGAUACCAUUGACAUAUCAGCCUGUUACGCUAAGGCCAUGCCCCUUCACCUUAGUCACACUGAUGGUCUAACACCACCUGCAUCAUAGUCCUGUCUCUCAAAGACUAGACCAUCCAUCCAUGAGUGAUCAUCCCAGAUCCACUCCUUAGCAUCCUUAAGAUGCCCGUAGACAUAGGGAAUAGCCUUCCCUAAUAUCCCUUUUCCAAUCCCCAUCAAGUCCCUUUCUGUCCAUAGCCGUGUUCACCAACACUACCACUACAUCAAGGCCCACAAGCCCGACCAUUAAGUCCCAUGGUCCUCUGGGACUUCCUCUUCACAUGACCCUAUCCUUGGUCUUUACACUGGAGGACUGCUCCUCUUCCUUUUCACAGUCUAGGACUUUGGGGCAACAUUUUGGAACAUUGUGGCCUUACGUGAGCUUUGUAGGUAUUUUCCCCGCCUUCUGCCUUUGGGUGCUCUAGCCAUGGGCUUAGAGUGAGGUUUUGUUGAGCCACACCAGGUAUCCAAGUAGGUAGUGCCAUCCACACUUACACUGGGAGCAUCGACCAUUCGAUCUCCCAGAGGAACUAAAGUUGGCUCUUGAACACUUCACCAAGCUACCCCACUUGUCGGUCCAUAUUCACUCUAGUCUUGGAAUUCCCAAUGGUCAGCUCAUCACCUAACACCUAGGUACAGCCUUCCUGGGCCAAACUAGCCUUUCCUAGCCAAACUGGCUCCACUAGGCUCUAAUCUCCACACUCUACCUAGUAUAAUUUUGGAACCCCCUGCAGCCCCCCCCUAGGGGACGAUCGCUUUAGGCUUUCACCCAACAGCUUAUAUUAGUAUUCGGACUCGGACUUGGACUCGAACUCGAACUCGGACUCAGUCUCAAUCCCGGUUUUAGACUCGGACUCGGCCUCGGUCUUGGUCUUGGUCUCAGUCUUGGUCUCGGUCUCGGUUCCAUCUCGGAUUCCAUCUCAGACUCCAUCUUGGGUCCAUCUCGGACUCCAUCUCGGGUCCAUCUCGGACUCCAUCUUGGACUCCAUCUCGGACUCCAUCUCGAACUCCAUCUCGGACUCCAUCUCAGGUUCAUCUCGGACUCCAUCUCGGGUCCAUCUCGAACUCCAUCUCGGACUCCAUCUCAAACUCCAUCUCAAACUCCAUCUCAGACUCCAUCUCGGGUCCAUCUUGGGUCCAUCUCGGGCUCCAUCUCAGGUCCUUUUGUGUCCCUUUUCUAGAGACUCACUUAUCGCUCAUUUUGUCCUUGUUCCUCGAGCAUUUCGUUGGGAGUUCCCCUCCCGCUCUUGACCUUUCAAGUUGGAGCUUUUGGCCCAAACGUGUUACACUUGUUUGGCUUUCGCUUCGGCCACUACCAUAUAGCACCCUUCCGGCUCCACUUUGGGGCUUAAGGAUUUUGUGUUUCACAACUCCACCACCCAUAGACGAAGUUCGAUGUCCUUAUCUAACAAUAAAAUAUUUGAUAAAGUAAUACCAAUAUGUAUUACCCUUUCCAUUCUUGGCACCUCGCCAAUAUUCGUCAAUGGUUUGAUACUGAAAGUUCACCAUGCCUUGCCCAUCCUCUAAGGAGGAUAUUCUCUCCAACUUAAAGACUAAUUGGACCACUUGUGGUGGUUCUCUUUUUUUAUUGGUUUAAUUCUCGCUAAACCUAUUAGAGACAUCAUCUCUAUCUUAAUCCCGCUACUCCUUCUCAAGUAGUCUCAAUUUCUAUCAAUAUAAUCUUUGCACUUUGGAACUUUUACUUUUGACUUCUUAAAGUCAAUUUCCUAGGUGUCUCUGACACCUUGUAUUGCACAUAUUGUGCAACUCCACUUCCCCAUCCUAGGAAGUCCUCUACUUGAGGGCACCAUCAUCCUCUGUUUUAUUUCGUGCCACUUUGGGCACUAAAUUCCAGUUAUCAUAAUUUGUGCUAGGGCUAUCCAUAUCCCUAUUAUUUGGCUACCUUAUUGCUCCUUGCCUUAGAGUUUGUAUUUUCGCCAAAUCAGAGCAAUUGGGAAUUCAUCCUUGGAAACACAUUGCCUUUUCCACAAUUCGUUAGCAUUUAACACAUUAGUGUUUUUGGCCAACUUUGCUUUUUUGGAUUCUUUCCCAUAAUUCCCAUGGCUCUUUUCUUAGCCACUAGUCUUUUGCUCCUCUCUUUGAUUGUUGCACUCAGCAACAUCGGAUCAUUACUUCCUUUCUCGAGGCAUCCUUUCGGUUCCAUAGCAAAGACUUUGCUUUGCCAAGUCCAAAGGGUGUUCAUCCUUAGUACGUCUCUUUAGCAUUUUCUACUGUGGGCUCUAUUCCUGGCCCAACUUUGGGACCCUCCCAGGGGUCUCUUAUAAAGACUACUUUCUUCGGAUUCCCUAUGCCAUUGCAUUGUCACAAAUCAUUUCCCUUAGGUGUUCUUCCUACUUGGUCACCUUGACCAAGCUACACCAUCAUCCAUAGUUCAAAUCAACAUUUUGAACUAGGAACCUUAUCCCUUUUACAUCACAAGGACUUAGUCUUUAUUUUUAGCCAUAAGAUCACCUUGUGAUUUAACUUUGGCACCUUAACAGGUUUGCUAAUAGGUGCUAAGUCCUCCAGACCUUUAAGUUGUUCACCAUAACCUCAGGAACAUCCCCCACACUUGGCGGUGCACCCAAGCCAGCCCUUACGGCUCCAUAGCAACUAAGAUUAAGUAUCCCCAUCCCAUUCACCACGUCCUUGGUGCCACUCACACCAAAGUGUUCAAGUUAGAUAUGCCGAGCCACAUUAAGCAAUCUAACCGUGCAUCACGACUUCGGGGCAUCCCUCGCUUAGCAGUGUGCCCAAACCAAUCUCCUUACUGAGAAUCCAUGACUACCGAAAAAUGAGUGUCCUUAUAUUUCAAACCAUCACCGCGCUCUAGUGAGUUGGGACUCAAACCCAAGCAUUAGAGGGUCGAGACUCGAACCCGUGUGACUCCCCACGCCAGUGCACCAACUUAUAGUUAAAGCACGCUAUAAAUCACAGCUUAGGAACCUAGUUCCUUUGCACUGCCAAGUCCUCUCACUUGACAAGUCUGUGAUCAUGCAUGGACUCCUCUAUGCUUGGCCCCAUGGGCCACCCCUUUUGGAAGUUGGCACCUUCAACUAGGGGAUUUAUUCCUCUGACUUGCCAAUCUCACUUAGUAAGUCAUCCGACUAACGUAAUAUGGUUUCAUGCACAAGCGUGAAAGUCCUCGACCAUCGACUUUCAUUCAAAGCUAUCCCUUUGAGCACUCAGGAACUACUUCCCCAACCUGGAUAGCAUUGCGUUAUGGCAAGCUUCAAGGCCACACUUCUGCUGCGCCACUUUAAUUUCGCGCGUUCUAUGAACCAUUUACCCUUGCUAAGGCCUCUCCUUUCGCAAGCUUUUAAAUUGUCAUAUGGUCUAACAUAAACAAUUCCAUGCUUUAGACUCUCCAUAGCAUCACAGUUGCUAGUAACAACAUGCUUGAGCACCCACUUGAUUCUCCACUCCCAAUUGACAUAACCUUGGUUAUGCAAUUCAAUUCUUAUGGUUUAGUUCUAUCCCCUUACUACUUGCUUUUAGCCUCACACCUUUCCUUCGGUUAUUCUCCUCUAGACUAGGAGGAUAACUUUGCACUUUUUACUAUGCCGUAGCAAGUAUUCUUAGGGAUGAACCUACCUGAUAGCCUAGGGAGUGGUUCCUCAAUCCGGGUAUGCUCAACUUAUAAUCCCACACACUGGGAUUAACGUUACUACUUAUGGGCUUUUAUAUGCCCAUCACUAGCCUUGCCAAAAUUCCAUUUUGGCUUUAUCCAAUUCGAGUAGAUAAUCUUCUUCUGUCUCCACAACCUUGGACAUUUGGAUAACACCUUCUAUCCAUCAUUCGCUAGGAACUUAGUCCCUUAGGCCUUAUUUAUUACCCUCGCGACACUAAACACCACCUUUUGGUGUCCUAGAGUGUUUGGGUGUCCCAAUGAUGGCCUCCUUGACAAUGAGCAUUUCCUUUUACGACAUUGACUCACUAUCUCGCAACAUAAGAAAUUUAUCCCAUGUAAGGGUAUAUCUAACUUCUUUAUGCCAUUAAGAAGUCUUGGGUAGCUACCUUCUACCCAUUUAACUAAUUAUUUUGCACUUUUUGCUUAGUUGCUUUGUAGUUGUCAAGUUCUACAACUCAUUGUUUGGUGCUUCCACACCUCCAUCAUUAUCUGGGUCACCACACUCCAACCGCAUGCCUUCCAGCUUAGGCUAUGCCAUUCCCAUUUCCAUUAGGAUUCCUUUGGGAAGGGGUUCUCGUGAACCUGCCAACUUCAUCUUAAGGCAUCACGCCUUAGCAUAUUCGAUAUCUCCGCACCAUCGACUCCAAGAGCCUACCUUAAGACACUUCUUUCUUGUGUCUAGGUCCUUGCCAAGAUCAAUGCAAUUCUUUCUUAUGCCAAUUGUCCAUUAGCACUGCACUAUAGAGUUUACACAUAACUUUGUGUCAAAGUUGUUCUCUUCUGGGAACACCUUUCCCACAACUUUAGUAUGGCACAUUCUACCAUCCAUAAGAUACCCACUGUUCUCAUACUUGGAUCUUAUGAUCCCCCCGAUCCUUCAUGGGGCACAACACACCUCAGUCCAAAUGCUUUUACCAAUCUCUUAGGGCCAUUUCUUGACUUUACUUGAGUCACCUAGCAUUUUUGGACUUUGUUAAUCCAAUGACCCGUGAGGUACUAUUUUUGAGGUGUCAGCUCGCUUGAAUCCAACUUCAUGUAUUCGUAUCCUAUUCAUAAGGACCAUGUUUGCAAGUGUUACUCCAACACUUGAUUAUUUUCCAUUCUCUAUGGGCUACCUUUGCCCCUUAGGAUUAUCUGUUCAUUUCAUGAGAAUACCGACUUUUCGUUUAAGCAUACCCCCAACUCUUUGGGUUUGUUUUAGCAUUUCAAGCGCCAACUAGCAUUUCAAGGACUCGUGUCCUUAUCCGUAUUUGACAUCUUAAGGUCUUUAAUUCCGGUCUCAAAUUCAUGAGCACCAGCCUCAACUAUAUGAGGAUAAUCUUGUGACUCCGUUAUUGUUUUGGAGUCUCUAUUUUUCCCGUAAUCCCAACUAUAAUUAUUUACCACAACUACAUUAGCCAACUUGCUAAGUCAAAUGCUCAUCUGGACCACAUCCUCAACUCUCUAAAGAAACCCUUAUACUGUUCCCAAGAUCCCAAAAUCAUUCCCUUACUGACCCUUUUCUAUUCACCACAUCGCACCCAAGUUCACGCAUGAACUUGAAUGGAGAGUCAUGUCCUCUUGACAUGCUACUCCUCAAGGAUAGGCCCACUCCUAGGACCUUCCGAUGCCAACAUCAAUGGUGAUAUGCUUGAGUACCAAUAAAAGUCAGACUAAGGAACAGCUUUGAUACCAAGUUGUAAGUGACUAAUUUUUCCAUUUUACUUUAGUUACUUAACCACACCUCCAACCACUUGGAGGAGUUUCACUCACAACCUUUAUAAGUCCUAUUUCGGACUUAGGUUUGCUAGCCCUGAGAAUGGCAUCCCCGCCACUUAACCUUUGCACUUGGUCCAAGUGCUCCACGUGUCUGAUCCCAUGACUAACACCCCAAGAUACCAUUGACAUAUCAGCCUGUUACGCUAAGGCCAUGCCCCUUCACCUUAGUCACACCGAUGGUUUAACACCACCUACAUCAUAGUCCCGUCUCUCAAAGACUAGACCAUCCAUCCAUGAGUGAUCAUCCCAAAUCCACUUCUUAACAUCCUUAGGAUGCCCGCAGACAUAGGGAAUAGCCUUCCCCAAUAUCCCUUUUCCGGUCCCCACUAAAUCCCUUUCCGUCCAUGGCCGUGUUCGCCAACACUGCCACUGGAUCAAGGCCCACAAGCCCAACCACUAAGUCCUAUGGUCCUCUGGGACUUCCUCCUCACAUGACCUUAUCCUUGGUCUUUACACCAGAGGACUGUUCCUCUUCCUUUUCACAAUCUAGGACUUUGGGGCAACAUUUCGGAACACCAUGGCCUUACGCAAGCCUUGUGGGUGCUCUCCCCGCCUUCUGCCUUUGGGUGCUCUAGCCAUGAGCUUAGAGCGAAGUUCCGUUGAGCCACGCCAAGUAUCCAAGUAGGUAGUGCUAUCCACACUUGGAUUGGGAGCAUCGACUAUUCGAUCUCCCGAGGGAACUAGAGCUGGCUCUUGAACACUUCACCAAGCUACCCCACUUGUCGGUUUGUAUUCACUCUAAUCUUGGACUUCUCAAUGGUCAGCUCAAACUCCAUCUCGGGUCCAUCUUGGGUCCAUCUCGGGCUCCAUCUUGGAUCCUUUUGUGUCCCUUUUCUAGAGACUCAUUUAUCGCUCACUUUGUCUUUGUUCCUCGAGCACUUCGUUGGGAGUUCCCCUCCCGCUCUUGACCUUUCAAGUCAGAGCUUUUGGCCCAAAUGUAUUAUGCUCGUUUGGCUUUCAUUUCGGCCACUACCACGUGGCACCCUUCUGGCUCCACUUUGGGGCCUAGGGAUUUUGUGUCUCACACCUUUAUGUUAUAUGAUUCAAAUUCCACACUCACUAUAAAUCAUCAAAGGCACAACAAAACAUCUUUAACUUGGAGCUGGUUGACCAUAAAAAAGAUAUAAGCAAAUCAAGUCUUCACAAGCUUCAUGAGUUCUCUAGAGCAAAACUUCUAAUAUAAAGCAAAUAUUUAUGAAUCCCACAAUCUUUUCAUAGUCAUUUAUGAACUUAAACACCCAAUCAAACCUUUUAAUAUCCUCCAAUAUCAAAUUCAAAACAUGACAUAUGCAUCAAUUGUGUAAGAUAAAGGAGAAUUCUUCUCUCAUAUGUUCCCCCAUCAAUACAUAAUUCAAAGGAUUAUCAAUAACUACUUGAACCACAUUUUCAACACUAACAUCCUAAAUUAUUAGUCUACACUGCUCAUAAAGCUAAAGACCAAUCUUCUCUUCUCUUUAGUGUUAACAUCCUACCAAAAUACCUAGCCAUAGAUAGAAGUAAUCAUGAAGUUUAUGAUUGAUCUACUCUUUAUAUUAAACCAUCCAUCAGUCACUGUUAUACAUCUAAAUUGAGUCCAUCCAUCAAGAAAGGGAGUUAACUUCUCAUUGACUAGAGUAUAAUAAUGAGUGAGUUGAUUAGUAAAAUGUUUGUAACUAAGAAUCCUCGAUGCAGCAUUAAGUUUGGCACUACAAAUGGUUGUGAUCGUUGCAUGAAAAUAUGAGCUUUUAACAACAUUGAAUAGUAUAGUAUUCAAGAAGAUGAACUUUGAUAUUGCAUUAUCUAAAUUCAUGUUUUUUGCUUCAUCAAACAUUUCUCUAAUGUUGUCAUUUUGCAUUCAACUAACAAAUGAUCUUUCAUGGCUUAUGUAAGCACUCAUAGGCUGAAAUUGACUACCACUCUAUGUACUAGCUCCAGAAGUAGAUGCCUUAUCAAAAUGCUGAUUUUGUGGAUUUGCUGUAGAAGGUAAAGCCAAAGAAGCAUUUGCAAAUUGCUCUAUAAACAUUUAACGAAAUUAUUCUUGAACAUGAAAAGGAAUGUUUGAAACAUUACAUGUUUCAAUGUCAUGCCCAAAAACUUUAAUAAGAUGCACCUUAAUUCGUUUUAGUGGACCAUUAUAUAUUUUUUCACAAUAAUUACACUUCUAAACGCCUAUCUCCUUUGCUAGAAGCAUAAACAAAGAGCUUAAUAAUAUAGGAUCAUGCUCAAUCAAACACCAUUGAUUCAACUGUGCUAAAAUCAAUAAUUAAAUAUUACAAUCCAAUCACUAAAAUCAUUUGAAGGUGCAAAUUAGGGUUUUUUGGGAAAAAAAUAAGUUGCUAACCUAAAAUGAAUAAAUGAAAACGAGAAAAAAAAAGAACUACACUCCUGGGGUGUCAUUCAAUAAAAUGCUGUAAAACGUUCAAUCCCUACACGAAAGACAGUUUGUUUCCUCUGGAAGGGACAGCAUACGCACCUUUGCUGGAAUGACGUUAACCUCCUUUGACAUUUCUGCAAGCGAGCGUGGUCUCUCGCCCCAUCUUCUCCACACCAUCCAAAUGCUGGAAUACUUGAGGUGCUCGUUGCCGAGCUGCCUUUUUGCUUGUUGAUCUUCCUUAGCCCGCUACUUCGCCUCUAGUUUUCGUUCCCUGUAAAGAAUCGUCAGGAAGAAACGAGAAAGAAAGAAGAAAACGCAUAGGCAGAACUAACAGGAAGAACAAGAAGGAAAGGUUUAGAAGCUGACCUUACGUCUCUUAGCUCUCUGCCACUUGACGACAUGUUGAACGAUAUCUUUGCGCAUUGGAACGUCGAAAAUGUCUUCAGCGAUCGGCAGAGUCCGUUUGUCCUCUUGCUCCCAAUUCGUGGCCGGCAGCACCAUAUCUCUCAUCUCUCCUGGAAAGAAAGAAGAAAUCACAGCACAAGGAUCCAUGGCAAUGUGUCUGCCUCGCCUGAAUUCAUUUGCAGCAAUGCUGGCCGACGGGGAGGUGGAGGAGCGCAACACCGUCUGGAGAAUGCCUAAUCAAGAUGACACUGAUCCAACGGAUAUUUCAUUCAAAGAAUCUAUCUUACAAUGUCAUAGACUUUAUAAUAAUAAUAAAAACUCUCUUUUCUUGUGAAUCACAACAAGAAGAUGUCCUCGUAUACCUCCUCCCAAAAGCCAGUUGCUUUGAUCCUCCGUUGCCGGAUCUUGGGAAUUUCUAGGUGCUGCUCCUCCCCAGUGCGCCAGCCUCUUCUCCUCCUCGGGAUCCAGCCCGAGAGCGCCUGACGAGCGAGGGGCGGUAAACAACCGCCUUCCUGUAAUGCACCAUCUCACCGACACUGUACUGCCCCACCGUCUCCCUCUUGCCACGGAUGUAAAACCACUCGCCGCGAUCCAGGUCGUACACCGCGGGUGGCAAAGGCUCGCCACCGCAAUCACCAAGCUUGUGGCCGUCAUCGUAGCGAUCGGGACACUGUCCAGCAAGGCACAGGAGAUUGCCUUCGGCCUGGCACUCUA
rnacentral:lncRNA from 1 species